AUUGAACGCUGGCGGCAUGCCUUACACAUGCAAGUCGAACGGCAGCACGGGAGCAAUCCUGUGGCGAGUGGCGAACGGGUGAGUAAUGUAUCGGAACGUGCCCAGUCGUGGGGGAUAACGUAGCGAAAGCUACGCUAAUACCGCAUACGAUCUAUGGAUGAAAGCGGGGGAUCGCAAGACCUCGCGCGAUUGGAGCGGCCGAUAUCAGAUUAGGUAGUUGGUGGGGUAAAGGCUCACCAAGCCGACGAUCUGUAGCUGGUCUGAGAGGACGACCAGCGACACUGGGACUGAGACACGGCCCAGACUCCUACGGGAGGCAGCAGUGGGUAAUUUUGGCCGAUGGGCGCAAGCCUGAUCCAGCAAUGCCGCGUGCAGGAUGAAGGCCUUCGGGUUGUAAACUGCUUUUGUACGGAACGAAACGGCGAGCUCUAAUACCCUGGAGUCAUGACGGUACCGUAAGAAUAAGCACCGGCUAACUACGUGCCAGCAGCCGCCGUAA
rnacentral:rRNA from 1 species